GGUUUUGCAUUACUCUUUUUUUUUUUCCUCUAUCUCUUCUUGCUAAUGAGAUAUUCCUCUGGACAAUCUGAAAGCUUGUGCUCCAUCUCUUUCAAGGCUAGGCUGGAUGGGGUGUGGAUGGUCUGAUCUGGUCAGGGGCGAGCAGCCCACAGCAGGGGCUUGGGACCAAAUGGGAUUUAAGGUCCCUGCCGACCAAAGGUAUUCUAUGAUCCCACUUUGCAUCAGCUCUUUGAGGAAGGCAGAGUGGGAGCAGGACACUGGUGGAGAUGGCAGGAAGGCUGUGAGCAUAGAGAGCCUGCAGUAAGGCAACCACUGGAGAAAAUCCAAGCAUUUCUCAUCUCUUUCCAGUGACCUGAUGCAGUCAGUAUAUCGUGUUCCUCCAUUCAGGCAUUUAACAUUGCCACCAUGACCUUUGGCCAUUGGCACGAGCCACGUGAACCCAUAAGGUUGGCCUCAGAACACCAACGUUAUGAGUUCACAUGGUUGGGCUGAAGGCAGGCGCACCCAAAGCAGGCUGCCAACGCUCAGAUGGCUUUUGGAGGUUCCCAAGACCCCCACAGCCUCUCUUUCUGAGUUUCUAUCCCUUUAUAAGGAGUAAAGGAUGAGUGGUAGCAAUGCUUAUGGGUUCCAUCCAGGAGAUGGCAGCAGCAUCCCUCAUACAUUCCUAUGGCAACGGGAGCGAUGCAUCCCUGGGCUGGGGGGGUUGAUCAUAAGGGUAGGGAAAGGCAUCGCCUCCCAGCAAGUAGCCCUUCUCCCUGCUUGUCUUUGCUCUGCUCCUCGCCUGGCAGCACGGUGAUGUGAUGGAGGUGACAAGCAGGGUGUUUCUGCUGAAUCAGUCUCUUUUCUUUUUGCAGGAGGAAAAAGCUGCUGCAAAACUUGCAAGCCGUAGCUUGGAUCCCAUCGUGCUGCUCACAGACAGCUGAUGUGCCGAGCUCGUUAGCACCAUGAAAUGUUGGCUGUCACCAGGGACCUGUCCUUCAGUGGCUGGGAGCACACGCAUCGGGGUGAAGCUCUGGGACCUCAGCCUGCACCAAGAGGCUGCCAUGAAAUUGUCUUGAGCGUAACCAAGUCACCGUGGGCACGGCCCAAAGAGUUCCUCCAGGAAGGCAAAGGAGCAUUGGAAAGAGGUUCUUAAGGGCUACUGGGAUCCAGAUCCUUCUCUCAUGUUAUGCUGUGUUGAAGCCUCAAGGACAACAUUUUGGCCUGGAUUCAGGAAGCCUGUUAAGGAUUGCAAAUCAGAGAGGUUGGAGGCUGGGAUGGGCGAGAUGGGGAACAGCCCUGUGGGUGAUGUUGCAGGAGGCUGCAGGACCUUCCCAGCAGGACAACCGCCGUGUCUGUCCAGUCCUCUAUCCAGCCCCGCCGUGUCCCGAGGGCUGCAGGAGACAUGAGCUCACUGCUGAGACGUGCCAAACCAAGCCCGCCGGGCGAGGCUGCUCCCAGCUCCAUGCUGACAUCUGCCAGAGAUUUCCAGCACUGCUGUCUCGCUGCUUCUCUGCAGAGCGCAGCCCCUGUGCACCCCAACAUCCUGGUCCUUCUCUGGGCCAGAGGCAUCCACAUCUACAUCCCCAUCCUCAUUGCUCUUCCCAUCCCAACCCACAUCAGCAUCCUGACACCUGAACUUGUUGCCAUAGAAACCACAGGUCUGUCUGUCUGCCUGUGCCAGGGGAUGAUGCUCUGCUCCCCCUGCCACAGCUAUUUGUGGUCCACAAGGGAAACAAGGGCAAAUUGGAGGAUGGUGCGUGCUGGGAGUGGAUGGGAAAGUGUAGCUCUGACCGAAGUUAUAGCAUUUGGGACAUCAGCGUGAGCUGGGAAUCAUUUCAUGGCACGACAGAAGGCAAAAUGUUCACCUGGAGAACACAAUUAGCUCAGCAGGUCUUUUAGUACCAUUAAGGGAUUAUUGUCCUGCUAUUACAUGCCCCAUCAUUGAGGGAUUAUUGUCUCAGUGGUCCCUUGACCUCCUGGGCAUGGCUGGAUGGUGCCACAUCAGACCUCAAAGAAGGUGGGUGGGGUGGUGAGAGUUGUCCUCUCCUCCAGAGACCACCAGCAGCACAGGGAGGCAUCUUUAGGAGGCAAACCUUCCUGUCCAGCUCGAGAAGUGGAAACCUUUCCUCAUCAUCCCUUCUAAACGAGGCUUUUUUGGCUGUGCUUUAAUGAGAAGCUGAAACUUCAUGCAGCAAACGCCUCCUCCUAACUAUCUAUUCUUCUUCCCAUCCAAGUUGUUUCUGCAUAUUUUUCAGCAUACACGAGGUGUUUCUCUGCCCUAUUUCAAAGCAGGGGAAACUGAGGCACACAGCAGCUCUGAGAUACUCCCGUGAGACCACUCCUGUGCUGAGAUUCCCACACAGAGAAAUCAAGUUAAAUGACUGGGGAUGUGACCAAUUGAUUUGGUGUUCAAGGCCAAAGUUGGAUGGGGGGCCCUAGGAAGCCUCAUCUAAUGCUUGAUCUAGCAGUCUGCAACCCUGCCUACAGCAUGGAGGUUGGAAGUGGACAAUCCCUUCCAACACAAGCCAUUCUAUGAUUUCCUGCCCACAUGGUCCUGUGGGCACCCUAGUGACCAUAUAUGGCCAACUCCCUGCUCUCUAUCUCCUAUAAAAGAUGCUGGCUACUGGUUUACUUGCUGCCAGCCCUCCUGGAGCGGUGCGUUCUUCAUUUCCCUUUUAGGAAGCAAGAUUCCUGGACAUAGGGCAGUAAAAAGAAAACAUCUUUCAGCUCUUAUUUAUCACCUCUCUUUGUAACUGACCACUCUCCAAAUAGAGGGACUACUUGCAGACUGCUUACUGGAGUGCAGCACAAUGAAGCCAGAGGUGCCUUUGGCCCCUGCUGUCCUGGAUGGAUUUCCAUGCAGAUCUCCCCACCUCACUGCUAUUUAUGGGGUCAGCUCCAGGCAAGCAACCCAGCUGAAGUCCCGGUGCUUACUGCUCACUGGCCAAGCCAAACAGCGGGGUGAUGCAAUAUUGCACAAACUUUCCAGCCAGGGAAAUUAAUCUUUGCAAUAGGAAAGAAA